AUUUCGAUCAGGUGCUGUGCGGCAUGGAUGCCUUCGAUAUUCGAAGAGCUGAAUUGCUGCACUCCACGAGCGAUUCGAGGGACUGGUAUCUCCUGAAUUCCAAAAUAUGCGGCAUUCCUGCAGGAAAAUUCAUGUCGAGUAGCCCUUUGGUGUCAAGCUUUCCAAAAGAAUUUAACACAGUGCAACUCUCGAAUCUUAAAAAUGGCGGGCACUUGGAUCGACGACUAGUUCACAAAGAAGAGGUAUUCAUAGCCUCUUCUUUCGGCGUUGUUUCCGCGAUACUUCGGCAAAAACUAAAAGCGGGCGAAGAAGAAAAGUACAGUUGGUUGGUUGAUGGCAUCAACAGCCUAAAUAUUGGCCAAGAUAAUGAAGAUUGCCAAACAGCGACUGACACACGUGACAACAACAAGGACAAAAUUCAUGACCCUGUACAAACAGUAUUUGGAGUCGAUUCAAGGUCAGCCAUAUCCAUAGAGGAUAUCGAGAAGAGUCAAGAUGAAAAUCUUAAGCUUAAGGCUGAACUUGAAGUUGUGCUUCCCCAGUUAGAGGCCCUUCGAGAUGAGGUAAAAAACGGCGGUCAAUCGACGCUGAGCUCAGGCACACAGGACCCGGUAAAGGACAACCCGGACAGUACAAGCGAUAUGUGGACCUUGAUCGGCGAUGUUUGCGAUAAGUUCCAGGUGCCUCUUGCAUCUUUAUUCGCCGAUCAGGUGGACCAGAAUGUUGAAGUGGCUAAAGUGAUGAGCGAUAUCGCAGAACAGCUGCUGAGAAAAAAGACCCGAAGCAAGCCCUGGAAGCAAUACUGGGGGACAGUGCCCCAAAAUUCUUUAAAUCCCUUCGUGUGCCCGAUUGGACGUUGCUUUACUUCAAGCUGCAGUCCCGGAUCCCAGACCAAGGAUGGCAAACCUUGUUGAACUUUACAAAGUUAGGGCGAACUAAGGUUGAAGUCCUGGCAUAAUUGUAUGCCUGAUUGCUUCUGGGAUAUCUAAUAUCGGCAUCACGACAUCACGUCAAUGUGAAUUUUGGAGACAUGCAUGCCGAAAGAUUUGGUCUGCUACAGCAGGAGUUAGAUACUAAGCUACAGUUCUGGAAAACAAAACAACAGGAAGUUCUUGCAAAGCUGUCCAUUCUUCGAAAAAACAAGAAGUACCCAAAGGAAGUCCAGAAUUAUGUUGCUCAGUAUCAACAGGAUGCCUACAAAAAUCGCACACUAUUACCUGGCUCAACACGGGAGAGAGAAGCUUUAUCCGGCAAUGUUUUGAAGAAAUGUUGCAAAAUGUCAAGCCUGGCUUAUUAAGCUUGGUAUUGGUUCCGGUAAACAUGGACAAUGUACAUUAGGGACUAAUGGUCCUCGAUGUAAAAAACAAAGAAGCGUAUUUUGAUGAUGGCCUUGGAUAUUCUUUCUCCAAAACUUCUUAUGUCUUUCUUAUCACGAGUGAGCUUCAGUCCAAGUUUCCAGACUGCGAUGACUUUUCUCUGGAUGACUGGCGUAAUGUAAAAACAUUCAAAAGGUUUGGAAUGCCGAGACAACCGACAGAUGGCCAACUAAUUGGAAGCGGCAGUUGUGGCGUUUGGGUUAUUCUAGCGGCCCUUGAUUUUAUGACCUCUUCACAACCUCAAGUUGUUUCACGGUCGUGGAACUUCAGUGAGAUGACAGCACACAGGAAGGACAUAAUGAAACUGCUUGCUUGCCGGUAGUUUAUUCUCUUCGAAGCCAUAAGCCAGCUACAAGUUUGGCCAAAACGUUUGAGACACUGCCGCGAAAAGAGAAAUUUUCUUUACGCUCCCUUCUCCAAUUCACUAAUUAUCAGUAAUUCUUACCAUUAAACUUUUGUAUCUUUUAAUAAGUUGAAAAUGUUCGGCUACUUCCAUGUUAAGCAGCAAGACUCUCAACAAAAACCUUAUUCCAAAAUUUUCCCUUUCAGUGAAUCGCAACGGAACAUAGUAGCUUCAAAUUUAUGACGUCAGGUUUAUGACGUAACCUUAUAACAUACUAUUUACACUGGAAAAAUCAAAUGUACAGCUGUAAAGCUAAAGAUGACAUGAGAAUGUCGUGCAAAUUUAAAAAUGUUACUUUUUUAACUUUUUGUUACUCUGUUGUUUUACCACUGUUUAAUUUUAACGUCAGAGUACUUUUCAAUCACCAAAU